CCUACGGGUGGCAGCAGUGGGGAAUAUUGCACAAUGGGGGAAACCCUGAUGCAGCGACGCCGCGUGAGUGAAGAAGUAUUUCGGUAUGUAAAGCCCUAUCUGCAGGGAAGAAAAUGACGGUACCUGAUCAGGAAGCCCCGGAUAACUACGUGCAAGCAGCCGCGGUAAUACGUAGGGGGCAAGCGUUAUCCGGAUUUAAUGGGUGUUAAGGGAGCGUAGACGGCAGCGAAAGUCUGAAGUGAAAUGCCGGGGCUUAACCCCGGAACUGCUUUGGAAACUGUGCAGCUCGAGUGCAGGAGAGGUAAGGGGAAUGCCUAGUGUAGCGGUGAAAUGCGUAGAUAUUAGGAGGAACAC
rnacentral:rRNA from 1 species